GACGAACGCUGGCGGCGUGCUUAACACAUGCAAGUCGAACGGAAAGGCCCUGCUUUUGUGGGGUGCUCGAGUGGCGAACGGGUGAGUAACACGUGAGUAACCUGCCCUUGACUUUGGGAUAACUUCAGGAAACUGGGGCUAAUACCGGAUAGGAGCUCCUGCUGCAUGGUGGGGGUUGGAAAGUUUCGGCGGUUGGGGAUGGACUCGCGGCUUAUCAGCUUGUUGGUGGGGUAGUGGCUUACCAAGGCUUUGACGGAUAGCCGGCCUGAGAGGGUGACCGGCCACAUUGGGACUGAGAUACGGCCCAGACUCCUACGGGAGGCAGCAGUGGGGAAUAUUGCACAAUGGGCGGAAGCCUGAUGCAGCAACGCCGCGUGCGGGAUGACGGCCUUCGGGUUGUAAACCGCUUUCGCCUGCGACGAAGCGUGAGUGACGGUAAUGGGUAAAGAAGCACCGGCUAACUACGUG
rnacentral:rRNA from 1 species